rnacentral:rRNA from 1 species
UACGUAGGGUGCGAGCGUUAAUCGGAAUUACUGGGCGUAAAGCGUGCGCAGGCGGUUAUGUAAGACAGAUGUGAAAUCCCCGGGCUUAACCUGGGAACUGCAUUUGUGACUGCAUGGCUAGAGUUUGGCAGAGGGGGGUAGAAUUCCACGUGUAGCAGUGAAAUGCGUAGAUAUGUGGAGGAAUACCGAUGGCGAAGGCAGCCCCCUGGGUCAAGACUGACGCUCAUGCACGAAAGCGUGGGGAGCAAACAGG